CCUUCUCUGCCUUGCAUCUCUCUUGUUACUGGAACUGACCAAGAAGGAAAUUAGGCUCAGGGGAUUUUACAGGUGGGGCAGGGUAGCCGGGUAAGUCCCUUAUCCCCUCACCCCUCCUGGGGACCAGGCAGGAGGGAGGGCCAUUCAUUAGGAAACAUCUCCGCUACUGGCGGCAACUGGAGGGAUUCAGGACACCUGCUCAGAGCAGCCACCAGGGGGCAGCAGACACUGCAAAAAUGGAGGAGGGCUUUGAAACCGGAGUCCAGGGUCUCAGUCAGCCACAGUCUACACUGCGCUGGGUGUGAGGAUGGCUGCAAGAAGUCCCCACAGCAGAGGGAGGGACGGCCACACCAGCAGAGUCAUUUGUGACGGCGCAGAACUGCAACAGGGAGGUUCACCUAAUUAACACCCACUGGACUGCAAACUCGACAAGAGGAGGCCAGACUGUAUCUGUUUUUGCACCCCCUUCCACCCCCACCCUGCUGGAAUUCUUGUACCUACCAUGAAGUAUGACCCACAGUCCAACCCAAUAAAGAUCUGCUGAUGGAAGAAAUGGGGCAGUGCCUGUACAUGGGGCCUUCAGGUCCGGCUGGAACAAGGCGGCUUCCCUGUUUUACUCUGCUGUGACCUGUUUGUUUAGGUGGCAGGGGCUUGGACAAUGGGCGUCCAUGCCGAGAUACAAUGGAGCUGUCAAUUAAGAUGCCCCGCCUUCCCCUGGCAGAGGGUCAGAUGCUCUGACCUGGGAAUUUGAAUGAAUCCCUCAGCCGGCCCAGCUACCCACUGCUCUGGUCCCAUCUGACCCAGGUGGUCUCACCAUUCUCCCCCACCUUCUGCCUUCUAAUAAAUUCCU